AUGGGGCUCCGCAAUUGCACCUUCCUGAUGCUGCUGCUCUUCUGCCUGUGCACCUUCCUCUCGCUGUCCUGGUAUGUGGUGCUCAGCGGCAAGAAAUGCGAUGUUGUGGACUUUUACCAGCGGGAAUUCCUAGCGCUGCGGGACCAGUGCACGCAGCUGAGCAGGAGAGCCUCAAGGGCUCCAAGGAGCUCAACCUGGUGCUGGAUGAGAUCACGAGGGCCAUUCCGAGAGGCAGGCGCUGGGAGAGAGAGGGCAAUCGCACCUGGGGCCGCCUAACAGAGAACGCCUAUUGAAGCCUGGGAACGGCUCGCACCUGCAGGUGCUACACCUGCCCACCGUCUUCCACCACCUACCAUACUUGCUGGCCGAGGAGAGCAGUCUGCAGCCCGCCGUGCGCGUGGGCCAGGGCUGCACCAGAGUGUCGGUGGUGAUGGGCAUCCCGAGCGAGAGGUGCACUCCUACCUGGCUGACACUGCACUCGCUCAUCUCCAAGCUGAGCCCACAGGAGGAAGACUCAGCCAUUGUAAUGCUGACUACUGAGACUGACCCACAGUACACUUCAGCAGUGACAGAAAACAUCAAGGCUUUGUUCCCCACCAAGAUGCAUUCUGGGCUCCUGCGGUCAUCUCACCCUCUCCCCACUUCUACCCUGACUUCUCCCACCUCCUAGAGUCCUUUGGGGACCCCAAGGCAAGUCAGGUGGAGGACUAAACAGAACCUCAAUUACUGCUUCCCCAUGAUGUAUGCGCAGUCCAAAGGCAUCUACUAUGUGCAGCUGGAGGACGAAGUUGUGUCCAAGCCCAACUAUCUGAACACCAUGAACUUCGCACUGCAGCAGCCUUCAGAGGACUGGAUGAUCCUGGAGUUCUCCCAGCCGGGCUUCAUUGGGAAGAUGUUCAAGUCGCUAGAGCUGAGCCUGAUUGUAGAAUUCAUCCUCGUGUUCUACCGGGACAAGCCAUCGUCUGUCUCCUAGACCAUAUUCUGUGGGUGAAAGUCUGCAGCCCCGAGAAGGAUGGGAAACUCUGUGACCAGCAGAAGGCCAACCUGCGAAUCCGCUUCAAGCCGACCCUCUUCCAGCACGUGGGUACUCACUCCUCACUGGCUGGCAAGAUCCAGAAACUGAAGGACAAGGACUUUGGAAAGCAGGCACUGCGGAAAGAGCAUGUGAACCCACCAGCAGAGGUGAGCACAAGCCUGAAGGCAUACCAGCACUUCACCCUGGAGAAAGCCUACCUGCGCCAGGACUUCUGGGCCUUCAUCGCAGCCGCUGGGGACUUCAUCCGCUUCCGCUUCUUCCAGCCCCUGCAACUGGAGCGGUUUUCCUUCCGCAGUGGGAACACUGAGCAUCCAGAGGACAAGCUCUUCAACAUGCCUGUAGAGCUGCUGCCUUUUGAUAACCCUCAGUGGGAGAAGGAGGCCCUGCAGGAAGGCUGCGCUGCCACCCUCCAGUACCCUCGGAGCCCCGACGGCUACCUCCAGAUCGCCUCCUUCUACAGGGGAGUGGCAGACGGAGAGGUGGACCCAGCCUUCGGCCCUCUGGAAGCUCUGCGCCUUUCCAUCCAGACGGACUCCCCUGUGUGGGUGAUUCUGAGCGAGAUCUUCCUGAAAAAGGCCAACUAAGCCGAGGGCCUCUGAGGGUACCCUGUGACCAGCCCUGAAACCCACAUUUCUGCGGGAUGUCCUCACUGCCUUCCCCAGAGGGCCAGAUAUGGCCCUGACCGAAGCGUUCUGCCCAGCGCCAGGCUUGGGCCAUCCUGGGGUCCGCUGCUGGCCCCGAGGCCCUAGGAGCUGGUGCUGUCCCCGCCCCACAGGCCUCGGAGGAGGCAGGUGGCCCCCACACUGUGCCU